GAUGAACGCUGGCGGCGUGCCUAAUACAUGCAAGUCGAGCGAAGCGGGGGGGGGUGCGUAACACGUGGAUAACCCGCUUUACGUAUGGGAUAACUUCGGGAAACCGGUGGCAAACCGGCUAUUUAUAGAUGGAUGAUUGCGGCAUUAGCUAGUUGGUAGGGUAACGGCUGAGCAAGGCCACGAUGCAUAGCCGACCUGAGAGGGUGAUCGGCCACACUGGAACUGAGACACGGCCCAGACUCCUACGGGAGGCAGCAGUAGGGAAUCUUCCGCAAUGGGCGAAAGCCUGACGGAGCAACGCCGCGUGAGUGAAGAAGGUCUUCGGAUCGUAAAACUCUGUUAUUAGGGAAGCGGUACCUAAACAGAAAGCCACGGCUAACUACGUGCCAGCAGCCGCGGUAAUAC
rnacentral:rRNA from 1 species